rnacentral:rRNA from 1 species
GACGAACGCUGGCGGCGUGCUUAAUACAUGCAAGUCGAACGGAAAGGCCCUGCUCUUGCGGGGUGCUCGAUAGGCGCACGGGUGAGUAAAACGUGUGUAACAUGUCCUUGACUUUCUGGUAUCUUUACGAAACUGGGGCUAUUAUAGGAUAGAAUCUCUUGAUGCACGGUGGGGGAUGGUAAGAUACGGUGGUUGGGGCUCGUUUGGCUGGUUAUCCGCUUGUUUGGGGGGUAGUGGCUUACGAAGGGUUUGACGGGUAGCCGGCCUGAGAGGGUGACCGGCCACAUGGGGACUGAGAGAGGGCCCAGACUCCUACGGGAGGCAACGGUGGAGAGUAUUGCGCAGUAGGCGGAAGCCUGAGGCGACGGCGCCGCGUGCGGAAUGACGGCCUUCGAGUGGUAAACCGAUUUCGACUGUGACGAAGCGUGAGUGACGGUAAUGGGUAAGGAAGCACCGGCUAACUACGUG